rnacentral:lncRNA from 1 species
GGCUGUUGCAGUUGGUUUUGGAGUCUAGGCAUUAAUACAUGCAACAAGAAAUCAUAACUAAGAUGACCAACAAACCAAAGCAUUUGUCCGGUGCAUAAAAAUUUCGUAUUGCCAACAUAAUAUUUCUCAAACACCAUAUUCAACAUGUUGACAAGAGAAAUAGUAACAAACUGAAAAGGUAAUGAUAAAUCGGCCUUCUAGUUGAAUGGAACCAUGUGCUCAUCCUCAUUUACCCCUGAAAUUUGUAAAAGCAAAUCAUUUCACUUAAAUUUAGGACAAGAAACCCAUAGAAAUAGAUGAAAAUGUAAUUUCAACUUCACUUACGUGUUCAUCAUCAAAGUUAUGUUAUCUCCUUUAAGAAGGAUCCUCCCUAAUCAACAAUAACAUCAUUCAGAAAAUGCAUAUGUUGCAAAGACAAAAAGGAUAAACUUUGAGAAAUUUAUCUUACCUAGUGUCUUUUUGCUCUUCUUCUUGACGUUUACUUCUUCAGCAUCAUCCAAAACCAAAUUCAUGUAUUCAUCAAAACCCUAUUUAUAACAAAAAUAAAAUCACAAGAUCCUUAAGUCUUAACCAUCCACUCAAAUAUCCAAUUUGAAAUGAGAUGUACCAUGUACACUCUAUACCAAAAACAAUAAGCAAACAUUUUCCCCCAAGAAAUGAGCUCAUGAAUCAAAAAGUUUACAAACUCCUAAACUGUUGAAAGAGAGGAAUGAGAUUCAAAAGUUUUGUAUAACAAGGAGUUGGCCAAGAUAAAUGUAGAUAGUACAAAGUAGUGACAAGUGUAAUAUUUCUUAGAGGUUGAUGACAAAUAACUACAACAGAUUCAUGUCUUAUCUCCUUUUCAGAGGGGAUUGUGUAUUCUAAUUUUCUACCUCAGUUUGAAAUACAAUAUUUCUUUGAAUUUAGUAUUAAAGCUAGGCACGGAUAACUAUAGUUCUGCCUCCAUAUUCCAUACAGUGGUUGAUGCUAAUUCGGAUCAUCUCUUCCAGAAAUUAACUAUAAAUUAAUCCCUGACAUCCACAGAUAAGACAGCUGAACCCCAAAACUAACCAAUCCUAAGUUUAUAAGCUGGGGUGGGCAGACCUGGCUGGCCUGGUCUAACCAGACCAGACUAGAGCAGCGAAACCACAAUCAUAGCAUCAGAAUUCAAAUUUGACUGACAAAUUAAUAAACCAAAAGACAGGUUCACAACCUAGCACACAACAACAGCAUAAAAAAAAAAAAAAAUAUCCAAAUCGAUAAAUUACAAGGUUCAAAGUUACUAGAGAAAAAGAAGCUCCAAAUCAAUAAAUUACAAGGUUCAAAGUUACUAAAGAAUAAACCAAAAGAUAACCGAGCACACAGCAAGUUCCAAAUCGAUAAACUACAAGGUUCAAAGUCACUAUUGUUUUAAACAUGUCUGGGAGAAAAUAAAUAACCAUUAUGUUCUAGACAUGUUCAAUCGUCCUCAAGCUUGUGAAUCUAGCUAAUUUUACAUGGAAACAGAUUUAUAAUUGAGUUAACUCAAUUUUGAUACCUAGACUUGUUGAGGCACAUGAUUUUGAGUUAACUACACCAAGAUUGAAAAGCAUAGUGACAAGUGUUCUUCCUCGGUUCCUUCUAAUCUCCUAUUCUAAAACAUGCCAUGAAAAACAAUGAUUUAAAAUAAAAUAAAAAACUUACAAUGAUUCUUCCUUCAAUCCUCAAAUCCUUUUGCUCAAAAAGCCAAAUCUGAAUCCGCGCUUUGCUUUGAAGAAAUCUG